rnacentral:rRNA from 1 species
UACGUAGGGACCGAGCGUUGUCCGGAUUCAUUGGGCGUAAAGAGCUCGUAGGCGGCUGUUCAAGUCGAACGUGAAACUCGGGGCUCAACUCCGAGCCUGCGUUCGAUACUGGAUGGCUAGAGUCUGGUAGGGGGAUCUGGAAUUCCUGGUGUAGCGGUGGAAUGCGCAGAUAUCAGGAAGAACACCCGUGGCGAAGGCGGCUCUCUGGGACGGUACUGACGCUGAGACGCGAAAGCGUGGGGAGCGAACAGG